GAGGGAGAAAUUAUUUCGAAUAAGUUUUCAGUCAAACGCAUGUGUGAUCAUGACUAUUUAAUAUUUUUGGGAAGCAGACUGCCUUCAUACUGACACUUGAACGGGCCACACUUGAACAUUGAAAACACUUUUACAGGAUGAGACAACGACCAUGCUUGUAGUGAUUGGGUUUUUAGAUUAAAUCAGCUUCUUGGGAAGAACACUUAAUUUUUCAACAAAUCUGGAGGCCUGCGAGAAGAAUUUAUUUGAUUUAAAUCGAUAUGGACGAUACUGUUACAUGUACCAUUUACACGAUUGACAUCUCUUUGCAUUUUAUGCAAUACAAUGGCAGAUAUUAGAAAGGUGAAAUGUGUGCUCAAUGGUGGAUUGGAAAAAGAGGUUGUAGCUGACAAAUCAAAAGGAAAAAGAAGAUUGAAACGUGAAAGAAAAUCAGAGCAAGCAAGUUCGUGUAGUUAUAAGCAGCCAAAAGACUCUCAGCAUGUUAUACCGGAAGAAUGUACUUCAGAAAUUUAUGAGAAAACUGUAUGUUUAUUAAUUGUAUAACCCAUAAAAAUUUGUUUGGAUAAAAAAUGUUAUUCCCUCAGUAAAAUUAUAUGUCAGCAUUGAAAUCCUUGAAGAGAAAGGCCAUAAUAUGACCAAAAUUAUAUUUUUAAGGAGUUGGUGCAUUAAUAAGCUAUUUAGGCCCAAAAUAUAACAGUUUUUCAAAAUUGUUCAAAUGUAAACUUUAAGCUUUUAAGUCAUGCUAAAUUAAUGAAAUCUUCAAAAUGUUUGCAUUUUGGUUAAUUUGUGUUCAUUCAUUAGAUUUAAUUGAAAGUCCUAUUUGUAAUUGAUGA